rnacentral:rRNA from 1 species
UACAGAGGUCCCGAGCGUUGUUCGGAUUCACUGGGCGUAAAGGGCGCGUAGGCGGCCCGCUAAGUCGAACGUGAAAUCCCCAGGCUCAACCUGGGAACUGCGUCCGAUACUGGCAGGCUUGAAUCCGGGAGAGGGAUGUGGAAUUCCAGGUGUAGCGGUGAAAUGCGUAGAUAUCUGGAAGAACACCAAUGGCGAAAGCAGCUCUCUGGGACGGUACUGACGCUGAGACGCGAAAGCGUGGGGAGCGAACAGG